rnacentral:lncRNA from 1 species
ACUUUAGCAGUGUCUCUCUUUGUUAGUCACAUGAUGCUCCUGUUGCGCUCCAUCUUCUCGUCUACUACUGCCAUGUCCAAGACAAGGCAAGGUGGGUGGCCAGCACUACAGAGGAGUUCUUAACCUGGACCCACUGUCUGUUUAGAGAUAGACUUAUUGUUUAUUUGUUUGCUUAUUUACUUAGUUUUGGUUUUUCGAGAUAGGAUUUCUUUGUGUAGCCCUGACUGUCCUGGAAUGUGCUUUGUAGAGCAGGCUGACCUUGACUCACAGGAAUCUACCUGCCUCUGCCUCUCAAGUGCUGAGAUUAAAGGCAUGGGCCACUACUGCUUGGCUAAAGAUAGAAUUUUAAGGGGCAUCUAAGCACUAGCCUCAAGUGUGUGUGUGUACAUUUUCUCCUGUUCCCUCUGGAGCUUGGACCGAAAUUUUCCGUCUGAUUCCCAACAAGACCAUAAGCGUCAGGACCUGCCACCACACACCUGUGAUCUACCUCAGGUGGCUGCGGAAGGAACCUGUGAGCAGAGGCACAGCAGAAGAGGGCAUCAGAUCCCAUUACAGACAGUUUGGAGAACCAUGUGAUUGCCAGGAAUUGAACUCAGGACCUCCGGAAGAGCAGUCAGUGCUCUUAACUGCUGAGCCAUCUCUCCAGCCCGUCUUUCUGGAUUUUUAAAAGAGACUCUGAUGCCUAAUAAUAUUUAACUUUUCUUAUUUUGACAAAUGAAGGUAGAGCCUUGCUACACAGCCCAGGCUAGCCUGGAACCUACCUUUAUCUUGGCUCAGCACCCCAAUGCUUCAAUUACAGGACUCUGGUAUUCUGCCUGGAAGAAAUAAGGAUGACAUAACAAAUUAAGCGACACCAGAACAAGGGCGAAUCCUUCUUAAGGAUGCGGAGAACUCGUGAAAGUCCAGGAGACUUCCCAGUAAAUCAAAGAUGGCAACGCUAGAUCAAAAAUGUGAUGGCUCGCUUUUGGUUAUGUUUGUGCUAGCUUUUACCUUACAGGCUGUGAUACUUUGUUUAACUGGACACUCUGUGUGCUUCUCUGCUUUACCGCCCAAGGUGAGGGACGAGCUGCAGCAACGGAUGCACAACAGAGGACUGGGAGGACAUGAACACACACGAUGAGCACGGGGGCUCCUCAGCAUUGGGCGUUAAGAUGGCUUCCUGUCUGUCUGUCUGUCUGUCUGUCUGUUUCUACCCACUAUUCUCACCCCAGGUCAAAGGACAAGAAAAGGAAAUGAAAGGUAUUAUCUAAGAAAGCCCAUUGAGAGCCCUUUAAAGUGAAUAAAUCAAGGGGUAGGACAGAUGGCUAGUCAUACACUAAGCAGUGGCCCAUUAUUUGGAGAAGCACUUUGCUGAAGGCCUCGGAUCUGUUACAACUGCAACAGGUGCAGCCCCAGGUCACCUCUCUGGAAGGCAAAAAGCCAUCUGUCAAUGUCUACACUUACUCAAAAUAAUCCCCGGUCCAGACCAAGGCCACUUGCAAGUAUCAGUUUUCCCUUACAAACAUUGUUAUCUGGAUGCUUCUAGCACACAUGCCUGGAAAUCUCCUUCAUAAAUUAAACAUUUAAAAUGGACCAGGAGCAAGACAACAGGGGACACAAAGAUGACAAUGCGCUCUAGUAGCAAAAAAGGUAACGAAGACGCACUUUCUAAAAAUGAGAUGUCACGCAGGAGAAAAUGAGCGCACACCUGAGACACAGCUACCUGACAGAGUGGCUCUCUUAAGGUCUAAGUUGAGCUGAGCCUCCUUGCUAAUAUUAAAUUCAUUUAACAGAUGGGUGAGUUUUAGCCCUAGAUAAUGGUUAUCUGUUCAUGAAUACAACUUGUGUUUGGUAUGUAGCUAAUCUUGUUUAAAACUUCCAUCUGUUCAUAUGUAGGAUUAUCCCAUGAGGCACGCACUUAGAGUGGAGUUUAAAUUUUCAUUUACCUUUCCACAUACAUGUUUUAAAACACACUUUCCUUUUCAUUCUCUAAACUGCACCUAGUAGUGGAUCACAAGCUUAAAAGGAAUAUUAUGGUCAAAAAAUAAAUUCCAUAUUUAUUAAUAUUUUCCAGUGCAGAAGAUCAAACCCCGGGUCCUUGCUUAUGCUAGGUGAGGGGUCUGCUUCUACACCUCAGCCCUAGCCAGUUUGUAUGUUUUAAGUCCAUGCA